GCCUGCCGCGUGAGUGAAGAAGGCCUUCGGGUUGUAAAGCUCUUUUAGUCGGAAAGAAAGAGUUGCAAUGAAUAAUUGUGAUUUAUGACGGUACCGACAGAAAAAGCACCGGCUAACUACGUGCCAGCAGCCGCGGUAAUACGUAGGGUGCGAGCGUUAAUCGGAAUUACUGGGCGUAAAGGGUGCGCAGGCGGUCUUGCAAGUCAGAUGUGAAAGCCCCGGGCUUAACCUGGGAAUUGCGUUUGAAACUACAAGGCUAGAGUGCAGCAGAGGGGAGUGGAAUUCCAUGUGUAGCAGUGAAAUGCGUAGAGAUGUGGAAGAACACCGAUGGCGAAGGCAGCUCCCUGGGUUGACACUGACGCUCAUGCACGAAAGCGUGGGNAGCAAACAGGAUUAGAUACCCUGGUAGUCCACGCCCUAACGAUGUCAACUAGUUGUCGGAUCUAAUUAAGGAUUUG
rnacentral:rRNA from 1 species